rnacentral:tRNA from 3 species
GGUUAUGUAGCUCAACUGGAUAGAGCACCUCACUACGGAUGAGGAGGUUUGGGGUUCGACUCCCUACAUGACCA